rnacentral:rRNA from 1 species
UACGGAGGGCGCGAGCGUUGUCCGGAAUCACUGGGCGUAAAGGGCGCGUAGGCGGCCCUGGUAAGCCGGCGGUGAAAGCCCGGGGCUCAACCCCGGGUCGGCCGUGGGGACUGCCGGGCUGGAGCACUGUAGGGGCGGGCGGAAUUCCGGGUGUAGCGGUGGAAUGCGUAGAGAUCCGGAAGAACACCGGUGGCGAAGGCGGCCCGCUGGGCAGUGGCUGACGCUGAGGCGCGACAGCGUGGGGAGCAAACAGG